UGGGGAAUUUUGGACAAUGGGCGCAAGCCUGAUCCAGCCAUGCCGCGUGCGGGAAGAAGGCCUUCGGGUUGUAAACCGCUUUUGUCAGGGAAGAAAUCUUCUGGGUUAAUACCUCGGGAGGAUGACGGUACCUGAAGAAUAAGCACCGGCUAACUACGUGCCAGCAGCCGCGGUAAUACGUAGGGUGCGAGCGUUAAUCGGAAUUACUGGGCGUAAAGCGUGCGCAGGCGGUUCUAUAAGACAGAUGUGAAAUCCCCGGGCUCAACCUGGGAACUGCAUUUGUGACUGUAGAGCUGGAGUGCGGCAGAGGGGGAUGGAAUUCCGCGUGUAGCAGUGAAAUGCGUAGAUAUGCGGAGGAACACCGAUGGCGAAGGCAAUCCCCUGGGCCUGCACUGACGCUCAUGCACGAAAGCGUGGGGAGCAAACA
rnacentral:rRNA from 1 species